rnacentral:rRNA from 1 species
CCUCCGUUCUUCCGCCGUUUUUACUAUUGCCCCAUGGGGGAAACCCUGAUGCAGCGACGCCGCGUGAGUGAAGAAGUAUUUCGGUAUGUAAAGCUCUAUCAGCAGGGAAGAAAAUGACGGUACCUGAUUAAGAAGCCCCGGCUAACUACGUGCCAGCAGCCGCGGUAAUACGUAGGGGGCAAGCGUUAUCCGGAUUUACUGGGUGUAAAGGGAGCGUAGACGGUGAUGCAAGUCAGAAGUGAAAGCCCGGGGCUCAACUCCGGGACUGCUUUUGAAACUGUGUGACUGGAGUGCAGGAGAGGUAAGCGGAAUUCCUGGUGUAGCGGUGAAAUGCGUAGAUAUCAGGAGGAACACCAGUGGCGAAGGCGGCUUACUGGACUGUAACUGACGUUGAGGCUCGAAGGCGUGGGGAGCAAACAGGAUUAGAUACCCGGGUAGUC